GUCGGGAUAGCUCAGUUGGUAGAGCAGAGGACUGAAAAUCCU
rnacentral:tRNA from 3 species